rnacentral:rRNA from 1 species
GACAGGGGGCUCAAGCGUUAAUCGGAAUUACUGGGCGUAAAGCGUGCGCAGGCGGUUCGUUGUGUCUGAUGUGAAAGCCCCGGGCUUAACCUGGGAAUGGCAUUGGAAACUGGCGAGCUGGAGUGUGGCAAAGGGGGGUGGAAUUCCGCGUGUAGCAGUGAGAUGCGUAGAGAUGCGGAGGAACACCGAUGGCGAAGGCAGCCCCCUGGGCUGACACUGACGCUCAGGCACGAAAGCGUGGGGAGCAAACAGG